GUCACCAGAGUCCCUGUUCUGCUAUCAGACCAUUACCAUAAAGUCUCUUUCCAUCAAGGCCAGCUCCCAAUUAUAUCAAGACACAGCUGCCGAUAGAGUCCCCAAGGUGCAGCCAUCUGAAGGCAACAUUCAGCGCCUGGAACUGGUAGCCAACCAAUAUGCAUGACCAGAAGUGACGUCACAGAUACAUGGACUCAGGAUGGAACACGUGAAACUCUCUUCACAGCAGCCCAAUGAGAUUACAGAAGUGGCGCGCAUUUCAGGCUGGACACUUUAUGGCAGAACACAUGUGAGCUCUAUGGGCAUAAAUAACAGCUACGGUAAUGCAACAUGGUAAAGAUGUCACAAUGGCCAGCAAAACAGAAAGUCCUUUGCCUGAACACUAACCUGUGGAAGCUGGGUACUAGGCAACAUAGCCAGCUCAUGGUGGCCACUAUCUGGCCAUCACUUGCCUAGAUGCCAUGUUCUACCCUAAUGUAUUUAAGAAGGAUUCUAGGAUCAGGUCUCUGCACUUCAUACAAAUCCCAGUUCAGAUUCUCCCACAUGUCACCAUCUGUAAUUACCUUCCAUUGAUGAAAGUGUAAAUCCAUGUGUGAGGAUGGAAGAACAAAGGACCUCUUCCCAUCGGGGACCACCACCAAAAACUUCUACCAUGAAAAAUUUCCGAUAUCUGUUAUUGACUCCAACCCCUUCAGUCAGUACCAUCUAAGACCUCCUCAUGCCAGCUGUCACAAAUGUGAUCCACAGUCGCACCGCACCGACUCGACUCGGUGUUGACAAAUAUGUCAGGGUACCAGAACCACCUGUUUUCCGUGACGGCUUACCACUGGGGACCACCAGAAAAACCUACUUCCAUGACAGCGAUACCUUUUACCGAC